UAAAAUGGUAUAAAAGGCAAGUGUCGAUGGUAGGUUUCCAGAUCACACGCUAAAAUCAGCGAACAACGUAAAGACAGAGAGUUUGAACACAGAGCUUGGAGACGACUACAAGACAUCGGACAUUGACAUGGGCUGUUGCAUGUACGAGAGCUGCAUCUUCACCAAUUGAAGUGAUCGAUCUGACUUCACCGCCACCAGUGGCCCUAGUGUCACCGGUCCAAAACCCAAUGCAGGGAUUUAAUGUGGACUUUAUAACGCCUCAAAACCAG